AACCAUAGAAACCUGCGGAGUACCUGCGGAAGGAUCAUUACAGAGUUGCAAAACUCCCACAAACCAUCGCGAAUCUUACCCGUACGGUUGCCUCGGCGCUGGCGGUCCGGAAGGCCCUCGGGCCCCCGGACCCUCGGGUCCCCCGCUCGCGGGGGGCUGCCCGCCGGAGUGCCGAAACCAAACUCUUGAUAUUUUAUGUCUCUCUGAGUAAACUUUUAAAUAAGUCAAAACUUUUAGCAA
rnacentral:misc_RNA from 1 species